UGAAUACGAGACGCUAAGGCGUCGAAGUAGUGUAUGUCAUACUUCCAAGAAAAGCUUGCACUGUCAUAAGUAAAAAAUGCCUGUACCAUAACCGACACAGGUGGGUAGGUAGAGUAUACUAAGGGGCGCGAGAUAACUCUCUCUAAGGAACUCGGCAAAAUAACUCCGUAACUUCGGGAGAAGGAGUACCUUAUUCUAUAAGGUUGCAAUAACAAGAUCCAAGCAACUGUUUAUCAAAAACACAGGUCUCCGCUAAGUCGUAAGACGAUGUAUGGGGGCUGACGCCUGCCCAGUGCCAGAAGGUUAAAGAAGUCGGUUAGCAUUAGCGAAGCUGGUAACUGAAGCCCUGGUGAACGGCGGCCGUAACAAUAACGGUCCUAAGGUAGCGAAAUUCCUUGUCGGGUAAGUUCCGACCCGCACGAAAGGCGUAAUGAUUUGGAUACUGUCUCGGAGAGGGGCUCGGUGAAAUAGACUUGUCUGUGAAGAUGCGGACUACCUGCACCAGGACAGAAAGACCCUAUGAAGCUUUACUGUAACUUGAAAUUGAAAUUGGACUUUAUUCGCGCAGUAUAGGUGGGAGGUGUUGAUUAUAAUCUUGCGGGAUUAUUGGAGCCAUCAGUGAGAUACCACUCUUGUAAUGUUAGAUUUCUAACUUUGAAUCAUUAUCUGGUCAAAGGACAGUUUCAGGCGGGCAGUUUGACUGGGGCGGUCGCCUCCCAAACGGUAACGGAGGCGUACAAAGGUUUCCUCUGAACGGGUAGAAAUCGUAUCUAGAGUGUAAAGGCAUAAGGAAGCUUGACUGUGAGACCUACAAGUCGAACAGGGACGAAAGUCGGUCUUAGUGAUCUGACGGUACUGAGUGGAAAGGCCGUCACUCAACGGAUAAAAGUUACUCUAGGAUAACAGGCUGAUCUCCCCCAAGAGUUCACAUCGACGGGGAGGUUUGGCACCUCGAUGUCGGCUCAUCGCAUCCUGGGGCGGUAGUACGUCCCAAGGGUUGGGCUGUUCGCCCAUGAAAGCGGUACGCGAGCUGGGUUCAGAACGUCGUGAGACAGUUCGGUCCAUAUCCGGUGUAGGCGUUAGAAUAUUGAGAGGAGCCUUCUUUAGUACGAGAGGACCGAGAAGGACAUACCUCUGGUGUACCAGUUAUCGUGCCAACGGUAAACGCUGGGUAGCUAUGUAUGGAGUGGAUAACCGCUGAAAGCAUCUAAGUGGGAAGCCCACCUCAAGAUAAGUAUUCUCAAGAAAAG
rnacentral:rRNA from 1 species